GUAUCCUGUUCACUGGCUGCGUCUGGCUGCAGGGCUUCAGCUGUGUCUGGGGUGCUCUGCAGCUGAGGGGGAGAAGGAGCUGGGUUCUCAGGAGUUUCCUCCGUUUCUCCUUCUGGGUCUGCUGCUUCUGGGUCUGCUGCUGUUACUCCCGAGUCAUCCUUGUCUGAUGAGUCCUCCGACGGGGCCAUGACACUAAGCCAAAAAAAAUCCUAUACUUCUUCUGGGAUUUCCAUCUACAGCAACAUUUCCUAGCUGUGAAUAAAAUCUGUAUCAUACAACAAAUGCCUCUUAUUGGACAUUUAGCAAGCCCGAUUCUCCUUCUAAGAUUUGUCCCAGACUCUUCACAAAUUGACAGUAGAAAAACACACCACCAGGCAGCAACUGUGAAAGGCCAACAUGACUAUAUAUUUCAGUUUUCCCCUUCAAAAGACACACAAGUGGCGACCAGGAAAAGAUUGGCCUCCCACUUGGAAGGAAAAGGGCACGCUUCAUAUGUAUGUCUCAACCUUCAAGACUGAGGUGCACCUUGUUUUUGUUGUGCUUGGAUUCUAACACCGGAUGGAUCGCAGACAAGCGCCUCUGAUCUUCAUGUCCAGAGGCUCAAGAAGGCUCAGAACAGUUUUUGCACAGAGCUGAAGGCGGUUUGAAAAGGGACCUGUUUAUCCCACCUUUGCCUCUGGGAAGCCACUCUGGCAGGUUUUGGUAUUCUUUGAAAAACCUGUUUGAGCAGAGGUAACAGUGGGACAAAAGAUAUGCAUGUACAUAUCAUGGGAAACCAUAUCUCUUCUCACAACCCUUUGGACCCUUUUGAAAAGUACAGUCAGCAUCCCCUAUUUAGCGGUGAAUCUCUCCCCAAACCAUGGGAUUAAAUCCAAAUGCUAUGGACCAGCAGGGAUUGGGUUGUAGUCCCAGAAAACAGCAUCACCCUUGACAUUUAACAAACACAUUGCCUUCAGACACUCCGCCUCACGUUCUCAUAGGUUUUUAAUUCUUCAUUCAGGAUCUGGCGUGACUUUUGGUUCUUAGAAGGAUGGCCAGCCUGAUAAUCCUUGGGUAGCCAUGCUAGGAUCCACUCUCAUUUCAUGUGUCACCUUUGCUCCAAAAUGUCACAGAUGUUUUAAGAGCAAGAGUCAGUGGAAAUCCAGGCAAUGUGACAAGGGUUGUGAAGGAGAGCAAGCUAGCGAUGACAACCAGUUACGCCAACAGGCAGUGCCGCCGUCAGUGGGACAGUGGACUCUGCUCCGGGUGUUAGUCUGCGCUUUCAAGGAGCCGUCGAAAACUCCUCAAAAAGUUCAGACCAAAACCCAAAGUGGAUUCACUGCCUCACUGACAUUGGAGCCACCAGCAUCCACUGCCAAUAAGUGGGCCGGCGUGUACAAAAGGAGUAAUGGGAGGAAGCCAAGAAGCAGGAAAGGGCGUGGCUGUGCAGGAGCAGUCGGAGGAUGGACAUGGUGUCAGAAGUGAGAGGGCUUCCCAGCAAAGCAAUCAGGAAAAAACACAGGGCAAGAGGGAAUGUAUGAUGGCAGCAGAAUCCGGUGUCCUGGAAUGAGGUCAGGGCCUAGCUGCAGUGCUCUAAUUUUGGGUGAGCAACACAAUGACAAAGCAAGCAUCAAAUCAAGUGGUGGUGAAGCCAGGAAUGAGGGGCGGUUUUUUUUGGCAAAUGCAGGAGCAAGAAAAAAGGUGCUUAUGACAACAUUGCAUUGAGGUAGCAGUAAGGGAGAUGCACCACCAGCAGGUUGCCAGUGUGCAAAUGUGUUUUUCCUAAAGGGCUUCCGAGGGGAGACAGAGACGAAUCUGAGAAAUCAAGCAGCGUAACUGGGUGUGUGUGGAUGGAACAUGGACGAGAACUGGGCAUGGAUGACUUUUAACAGAGUGAGUGGUAAGAAGAUCUCCGAGGCUGACAGAAAUAGAGCAUGCAUGAGAAACUUAAGUAUUCAGAGGUGGUGGCAGCACUCGUGGUGGAACUAAAACAGGGAACAGGACGGGGAGAAGAGAAAAAUGGAUUAAGUGCAGGUUUGUCAAGAUGCCGUAAGUCUCCUAACAUCCCAUAUGCAUGUCCUGUAUUGCACAUUUAGGAAACACUGUAACUAUUGCUGCAUGUUUCAGUACAACAUACUUUAUUGUGUGUCAGCAUGAUCAUGUUGAAUGUAUGAACCGUAAUACAGGUUUAUGUAGAAACAUAGGGUCAAAUAAAUGUCCAUUCAGCUGCUUUUUAAAAUAUAUAAAUAAAACCCAACCACCCUCAGCCACAGGAGCAGC